rnacentral:rRNA from 1 species
CCUCGCCUACGGGACGCAGCAGUGGGGGAUAUUGGACAAUGGGGGAAACCCUGAUCCAGCGAUGCCGCGUGAGGGAAGAAGGUUUUCGGAUUGUAAACCUCUGUGGACAGGGACGAUAAUGACGGUACCUGUCAAGAAAGCCACGGCUAACUACGUGCCAGCAGCCGCGGUAAUACGUAGGUGGCGAGCGUUGUCCGGAAUUACUGGGUGUAAAGGGAGUGUAGGCGGGAAGGCAAGUCAGAAGUGAAAUUUAUGGGCUAAACCACUAAC